rnacentral:tRNA from 1 species
AUCUAGAUAGCUUAAUAAGAGUGUCACUUUGAAGAUGUGAAGGUGUUAUUUCUCUAGAUA